UAGACGUUAACAACCUUACACGCAAUCCGCCAGAGAACUACAAGUGAAAAACUUAAAAUUCCAAGGACUUGACGGUGUCCCACCCCUACUAGAGGAGCCUGUCCUAUAAUCGAUACCCCACGUUUUACCUUACCCUUUCUCGCCCAGCCUAUAUACCGCCGUCGCCAGCUUACACUGUGAACGCACAAUCGUAAGCGCAAACAUCAGACAUUAAAACGACAGGUCAAGGUGUAGUUCAUGGAAGGGAAGAGAUGGGCUACAUUUCCUAGAUAGAAAAUCACUGACCGCAAGAUGAAACUGCCACAAGGAGGAUUUAGAAGUAAAACUAACAAGACAUGUUAGCUUGAAGCCCUGGGACGC
rnacentral:rRNA from 1 species